GACUAUGUUCAUGAUUUCUUGGUCAUACAGGAACUUGCUCACAGAUAUUUACUGGCAACUGGUGGCGCCUCCUUCAGGUUUCAUGUCUCUGACCAGCAUGUGUAUUUCAGAGCUGUAAACUGGAACAACGGCAGCCACUCAAAUCACUACGCGUGUAAGCAAAUUUGAAUCAGGGACAACAGGGGAGAAACUUUGAUCACUCGAAUCCAUGAUUACUAGAGAGUAACAAAUGCUAGCAGUAGGCAUACAAAACGCAAGUUUAACCAAAACUUAGCAUGCCACGCAUGACUGUCCAGUAGACUCCAAACCAACGAGAAAUAACACUUGGGAAUUGGUAUCCCAGCCUAGCUCACCAAGAACUGCACCAAUUAUAUAUACGCACAUCGGGCUAUCAGAGAGACAUAACACUCGGGAUCGAAUCGACCGACGCCACGGCCAGGCUCGCCUCGCCGUGCUCUCAGAAGUAGCGGCGGCAGCGCGGCGGGGCCUGCAGGAAGGCGAUGAACAUCAAGGCGACGACGGCGACGAAGGCCAGCGCGAUGAGGAUGUUCUCGUCGACGGGGAGCAGGCACACCUUCUUCCCCAUGCUCUCGCAGCCCUGCUGAACGGCGAUCGAUGCAGAGAGGGACUCGAUCGCAAGCGUGUAUCUACUGGCUUCGUUGCAGAAGCAUGCGUGGAUGCGUCCCUGUUAUAGCAGAUAAAGAAUGGAAACGCAAGCGCAGAUUCUGCAAAAGUUUUGCUUUGGAAGGCUGCACAAGUCUUACUGCAUUGAACCCUCAAAUGCAAAGCAGACAACUAAGCAAUCGAGAAAGAUUCCACGGAGAACGAAAGGGAAAAAGUUGAAGAAGCUUACGAUAAUUGACAAAGAAUUUGCACAGACUUGUUUGGUUCCGUAGUCCAAAAGUUUAGUUCAUGUCACUAGAUACUAAUUAGGAGUAUUAAAUAUAUGUUAAUUAUAAAACCAAUUGCACAGAUGAAGGUUAAUUCGUGAAACAAAUCUAUUAAGCCUAAUUAGUCCAUGAUUUGACAAUGUGAUACUACAGUAAAUGUGUGCUAAUCAUGGAUUAAUUAGGCUUAAUAGAUUCGUCUCGCGAAUUAGCCUCCAUUUGUGCGAUUGGUUUUGUAAUUAGUCUAUGUUAAUAUAUCUAAACAUUCGGUGUGACAUGUACUAAACUUUAGUCCGUGGAACCAACUUAUCACUGUUGUAAAAUGUACAGACUAGUACCAAGAUUCAGGAGCCAGGGAACUUUUUUAAUGUUA